rnacentral:rRNA from 1 species
UACAGAGGGUGCGAGCGUUAAUCGGAAUUACUGGGCGUAAAGCGUGCGUAGACGGUUAUUUAAGUCGGGUGUGAAAGCCCCGGGCUCAACCUGGGAAUUGCAUUCGAGACUGAAUAGCUAGGGUACGGUAGAGGGAAGUGGAAUUUCCGGUGUAGCGGUGAAAUGCGUAGAUAUCGGAAGGAACAUCAGUGGCGAAAGCGACUUCCUGGACCAACACUGACGCUGAGGAGCGAAAGCCAGGGGAGCAAACGGG